CCUACGGGAGGCAGCAGUGAGGAAUAUUGGUCAAUGGACGAGAGUCUGAACCAGCCAAGUAGCGUGAAGGAUGACUGCCCUAUGGGUUGUAAACUUCUUUUAUAUGGGAAUAAAAUGUUCCACGUGUGGGUUUUUGUAUGUACCAUAUGAAUAAGGAUCGGCUAACUCCGUGCCAGCAGCCGCGGUAAUACGGAGGAUCCGAGCGUUAUCCGGAUUUAUUGGGUUUAAAGGGAGCGUAGGUGGAUUGUUAAGUCAGUUGUGAAAGUUUGCGGCUCAACCGUAAAAGUGCAGUUGAAACUGGCAGUCUUGAGUACAGUAGAGGUGGGCGGAAUUCGUGGUGUAGCGGUGAAAUGCUUAGAUAUCACGAAGAACUCCGAUUGCGAAGGCAGCUCACUGGACUGCAACUGACACUGAGGCUCGAAAGUGUGGGUAUCAAACAGGAUUAGAUACCCGAGUAGUC
rnacentral:rRNA from 1 species